rnacentral:tRNA from 1 species
CCGACCUUAGCUCAGUUGGUAGAGCGGAGGACUGUAGUGGGAUGUACCUGAUUGUAAUCCUUAGGUCGCUGGUUCGAAUCCGGCAGGUCGGA